GGGGGGACGGCCCUAAUGUUGUGUUGGCCGGGUUGCGGGCGGAUAAAAGCGGACGUGGGGACUCGGGUCGGGGCACAGCGUAACUAAGAUAAGAGAGCCAUUCCAUUUAGUGCGAGACAGAAUGGGCGGGCACAAGCGGUCUGGUGUCCGAGCCGAUUGGUCAGACGACGACUACUGCACAUAUUAUAUUAGCCGCCUAUCCCGGAAUGGACUGGGAUGGAAACGCGAAGCAACAAGCAAGGGAUGAGCGCUUUGUUGCUAAAGCGCAUACGUUUUCUUGGUUUGUUUUUUGGGGGUGGGGCAAUAAGCUUGCUUCUUCACAAGCUUAUCCCCGCCCCCUUUCCUGUCCGUCCCGACCGGCAGCAGUUGGGUCUCCCCAUCUCUCCUCAACUUCCCCGGUCUUCGGCCCGAGCUGUAUGAGGCAGAAACUCGUCCCACGUACGGUUCGGAGGCCGAGCCCCACCCCUGCAAUAAUGGUGCAGCUUAGGUCAACUAAUACGAAUAAGAUACAGUUCACUCAACGAUUGCCUUUGGGUCCCGAACUCCAUAUGGGGAAGGAACGUUGUUGUUUGCGAGGUCUCGAUCAUUUACAUGGACCCACUUCUCAUUCCAUUUGUGGGAAUUUUAUGAUUUAUAAACCGUCCCCAACGAGCGAAAGGUUCAUGUUUGAACAUGAUGAAUCACUUCGUGCCGACCUGUUGCCCAUAAACUUUCCUGCCUCAUAUGAGAAUGGAAAACUGGAAGAUUUUCUGAUGAAGAAUCACGAACAUAAGAAUUUCUGGUUUAGCAUGUUCCCAGAAAGAAGAUACUACUGGUCGCGAGAAACGAGGAGCACGACUGAAGUGGCUAUACAUACAAAUCCAUUGACGGAUCUAUAUGCUCCGAUUGGAACUGGAAGUUCCAGAACUGGCGGCUGGUAUACCACCAUAAUGAAAUUGCCUUUUAUUUUUAGUAUUCGGAUAGGAUUUCUGUUGGCUUCAUCGGGAGGCUCGCGUAGUUUGUUACGUCAACUCCAAAAGGAUAAGUUGCAUUG
rnacentral:misc_RNA from 1 species